rnacentral:rRNA from 1 species
UACGUAGGGGGCAAGCGUUGUCCGGAUUUAUUGGGCGUAAAGAGCGUGUAGGCGGCUAGACAGGUCCGUUGUGAAAACUCGAGGCUCAACCUCGAGACGUCGACGGAAACCGUCUGGCUAGAGUCCGGAAGAGGAGUGUGGAAUUCCUGGUGUAGCGGUGAAAUGCGCAGAUAUCAGGAAGAACACCUAUGGCGAAGGCAGCACUCUGGGACGGUACUGACGCUGAGACGCGAAAGCGUGGGGAGCGAACGGG